CUCAAUCCCAGAACAAGGGUUUUAAUCCUUUCAUAACUUGAAAUAAGAUUACAAAGUUAAUGUUGUUCAUACCAAAUAAAUUAAGGGUAGAAGAGUUUAUAGAAGAUGAAGCCUAAUGGAAAAUUCGUAGCCUCUAUAAACUGCUCAAACAUAAUGUGUAAUUCUUCUAAAAAAUGUUCUUGGGGGUAUUUAUAGAUAUAUGGUGAAUUACAACCAACCUUGAACAUUUAUUGAAUAAAAAGAGUUAGUUAAAAAGGGGCCACCUAUGCACCGCAGGGCUUAAUACGCACCACCAAAAAGUAAUGGAAGACCUGUCAUAUAGCCCUAAGGGGUGCGAUGCAGGGCCUUGUUGGCAGCCUUUGUUUUUCAUGAAAUGUCGUCUCUUGUAAUCCUUAGUCAUCUUGAGUCCCCGUAUGCCCCAUUCAUUGCUAUAUUACUACUAACACAUAGGUUAUCUCAUUUACAACAAAAAUCACUACUAGAAAUUGGACCUAUGGCAAUGGAUUUUUUGGUGACGGUUGUAAAUUCUUCGCAAUAGACUAUCUAUAGCAACGCUUCCAACCAUUGCCAAAGAUAAUAGUUAUACUAUUAUGAUUUAGCAUUAUGAUCGUGGCUACUGAAAAGGAACCGUUGCAAUAGGUAUAUGUAUGACAACUCUAUUGAAACUGUUGCAAUAAAAUCAUAUAUGGUGGCACAUAAUGGAAAUAUGGACGGUUGCAAUAGGUCUGUACAGGCAUUAUUUAUUAAUUUUCCUCCAUAAUAUUUCACACAAGUCCACCAAAAAAAUUUCACUCUAUCAAAACAUCUUUUUUAUUAGAACAAAAGGCCGAGCCAAAAACCCUUGUUGUUUUAAACAAACAAAAGCUCCAUUUCUCUAAAGCUCUCAUCAAUCCAAAAAAUUUCCAAACAAAAGUGAAAUUUUCUCCAACAACAAUCUCUUAGUCAAAUUUCGAUUAAGGUGAAAUUUCGAGCUCUUAGUGAAAUUUUGAUCCAUUUAGAGCUCUCAAUCUCAUAGUAAAAUUUUGAACAACAAUCUCAUAGUGUUGUUUACAGUUUUGAAGCUAACCCACUUGCUAUGUUGGAGUGUUCUUCUUCAAUUUAGGGAUAUUAAGGCUAGUGCAUUCCUCUAAUUGAGGAUUUUGACCUAAUUUUUUAUUCUUAUUUUGGGUUUUUCUCUCGACAUAAGUUGUUAGGGUUUAAUUUAGUACCUUUUCCUUCUAUUUUGGAUGUUUUUGUCUCAUGGGGUUUGUUCAUAUGUUGUUUUUAUGCUAUUUAGGUUGCUAAAUUUGUGACUCUUUUGUUCAUGAGAAUUCAAGAAAGUAGAAAAAUGCACAACACUGAGAAGAGAAUACUAAUUAGACUGUUUGUCCUAGUCUUUAGGAAAUUAGAGUAUGUUAGAAAAUACAAUGUCUAUCUGGUUAUGUCUGUUAUAGUUUUUAGGAAAUAAUAGGUUGUUAUCUAGUCUUUGGGCGUGUUUGAUGCACUCAGAUUUCAUAAUUUAAAGAGUCAUACAUAGGCGUGUUUCUGCCUAUGUACAGUAUUGAGUUCUCAAAUUUUCCUUUUCACAUUGCUGGUUUUUUUCUUUCAUGUGGUGUUAAAAUUACUUGUUAACUGAUAUAGUAGUUCACCUUUAGUAUAAUCCACGAGUUCCUCUGAACUAAAGAUGAAAUAUUUCCUUUUCUCUCACUCUCCAUCACAAGAAGUAACCAUUAUAUGUUACAGUAAUGAGAAAAAGCUCACUGCUUUGAUGUCUUGGUUAAAAUGCAAUCACGUUAUGACUAUUAAAGCUUUUCUUGUAUAAAUCUUGUUCAGAAAAUUCUAAUCAACCAGCUUUGUUUUUUCUUUUCUGGGGGGCAGUAGGGUGUCGCUAGAAUGUUCCUUUGUUAAUUCUUAAGUCAUAUGAAGUCCAUUUGCUGCUAAUGUUUAGACCUCAAAACUCUUUUCUCGAUAUAUAGAAAGGAAUAGCAAAUCAAAAUCAUGAAGGAUAAAAGUUUUAAAUAUAUGAACAUAGCAUAUCAUAUAAUAGUUUCGAAGUGAAGGAUUCUGCGGGAUGCUUUCUAUGCAAGAGUUGGUCAUCCUGUAGUUCAUGGAUUACUUCUUUUUUUGUCUGAAACUUCAGAUUUUUUGCAAAUCCAAUGGCAUUUUCCUGGAGGGCAAGGAUUAGAAGACGGAAUUGGUUUUACAAUGUAGAAAAAUAGAUUAGUUGCACAUGACCACUGACGUGAUUGAAAUAUGAACGACUAUUAAAAUUAAAAAGUUGUUGUUAACUCUUGCCUCUCUAUUUCAGUGGAUAAAGGGAUUACUUUACUUUAGAGUUCUUUUAAGCUUCAUGGAUACAUUGGGACACUAUUUGUCAUCCAAUGUACUGAAGAUAAGCACAAAACAUUUAUUUAAUUGCCACAGCGUGUGUGGUUGAUAUUAAAUUAGAUUCCUAAAAUAUGAUUAGGCAAACGAAAUUUAUAGGAUACAAGAAAAUUUCAGUACACCUAGUAUGAAGCAGCAUAGAAAAGAAUUAUUUCUUCUUCACAUAGAAAACCGAGAAUCCUUAAGGCAUUUAUUCUUCUGUCUCUGGAACUAGACUUUAUACAUCUCUGUUGGUCAAUAUAAAGUUUAUCUCUUUAAAGUAUCGAGUUUUGAAGAAUAUAAAAGUGGGUUAGCGCUGGGUUAAAAACAUCAUAUAUAAGAUAGGUGGUAGAUCUAUGCGAAAUAUGAUUGCACCAUAUAGAUGCUUCAGUCCCCAUGUUAUGUAAAUCCUAGAUAAUUUAACUAUUUGAACACUUACCUGUCGUAUAUUAGAGAAGCUAAUUGCUUAGAAGGGAAAAUUUUACUCCAAACCAUUGAUUGAUGACUUCUGGACUAGAAUGAACAAAACAUUAGCUAGUCCAUAUCUGAUUCUAUUUUCCAAAUAUGUUAAAGAAAGGAAGGAGAAGAAAAUUGAUUAGAGAUGUUCAGAGGGAGUAGAUUCUGGGUUUUGAUUUUGUACAUAGAAACUCUAUAAAAAAGUCAUGCUAGG
rnacentral:lncRNA from 1 species